rnacentral:rRNA from 1 species
UACGUAGGGUGCAAGCGUUGUCCGGAAUUAUUGGGCGUAAAGAGCUCGUAGGCGGUCUGUCGCGUCGGCUGUGAAAACUCGGGGCUCAACCCCGAGCCUGCAGUCGAUACGGGCGGACUUGAGUGUUGCAGGGGAGACUGGAAUUCCUGGUGUAGCGGUGAAAUGCGCAGAUAUCAGGAGGAACACCGGUGGCGAAGGCGGUUCUCUGGGCCUUACCUGACGCUGAGGAGCGAAAGCGUGGGGAGCAAACAGG